AAAUUCACAAAUUCACAAGAAGUGCAGCAAGAGAGGAAGGAGUGGCGGCGAGCUUAAGGGCAGUCCGGUGUUCGAAGGAGUCAUCGAGAAAGAGGUUGAGCAGUGAUGACGCCAGGCGGUGUUGAGCAUAGACGAUGAAGAUCCUUCGAUAAGAAUAGUACUCGGAUGCGGCGUGUCUCCAUACACGACGUCAUCUACUCUUGACUCUUCCGCUGCAAUGUAAAAAAAUCGAGUUUGCACUCUGUAUCAUGCACUCUGAUAUAUACUAUUUGAGUUAUUUUGGUUCAA